GUCCACAGCCACACCAUUCUGAAUGCACCUGCCCUCAGAAGCUAAGCAGGGUCUGGCUUGCUUAAUGCUUGGAUU
ensembl:rRNA 5S_rRNA 5S ribosomal RNA